CCUACGGGGGGCUGCAGUAAGGAAUAUUGGUCAAUGGACGCAAGUCUGAACCAGCCAUGCCGCGUGGAGGAUUAAGGCCCUCUGGGUUGUAAACUCCUUUUAUCUGGGAAGAAAUGUACUUUUUCUUGAGUACUUGCCGGUACCAGAGGAAUAAGCACCGGCUAACUCCGUGCCAGCAGCCGCGGUAAUACGGAGGGUGCCAGCGUUACCCGGAUUCACUGGGUCUUAGGGGUGCAGGUAUGUCAGUGUUGAAAUCUCCGGGCUGAAACCGGAAACUGCCGUUGAUACUAUUUGUCUUGAAUAUUGUGGAGGUAAGCGGAAUAUGUCGUGUAGCGGUGAAAUGCUUAGAUAUGACAUAGAACACCAAUUGCGAAGGCAGCUUACUACACAAUCAUUGACGCUGAGGCACGAAAGCGUGGGGAUCAAACAGGAUUAGAUACCCCAGUAGUC
rnacentral:rRNA from 1 species